UGUCAGCACUUGUGGCCUAAGGCUUGAGCUCCUUUAGCUCCUUGUGCUGAGCUGCUGAUGGGAAACGAGAGGCCUCUGCGAGCAGAUUCAUGGUGUUUCCUGUAGAACAGUGAGGGGGAAGGUGUUGUCAAGUGGGAAGAGGAGUACUGUUUGUGUGUGGCCUCCUAUGUGGCCUUGGCGCCUUUGAGGGCCUUGAAGGAGAAAAGAGCUUUGUUAAAGUGAGAAGGGAAAUAGUGUGUUGGCUGUUCUUUCUGCAGGGA